rnacentral:rRNA from 1 species
GCGAUCUAAUCGUUGGGCUGCGGAAGAUACUGUUGGGCUAGGGGGCGGGAGAGGCCGACGGUAUUCCCGGGGUAGGGGUGAAAUCCUAUAAUCCCGGGAGGACCACCAGUGGCGAAGGCUGUCGGCUAGAACGCGCUCGACGGUGAGGGACGAAAGCUGGGGGAGCGAACCGGAUUAGAUACCCGGGUAGUCCCAGCUGUAAACGAUGCGGGCUAGGUGUUAAGGUGGCCACGAGCCACCUCAGUGCCGCAGGGAAGCCAUUAAGCCCGCCGCCUGGGGAGUACGGCCGCAAGGCUGAAACUUAAAGGAAUUGGCGGGGGAGCACCACAAGGCGUGAAGCUUGCGGUUUAAUUGGAGUCAACGCCGGGAACCUUACCGGGGGCGACAGCAGGAUGAAAGCCAGAUUGAAGGUCUUGCUGGACAAGCUGAGAGGAGGUGCAUGGCCGUCGCCAGUUCGUGCCGUGAGGUGUCCUGUUAAGUCAGGCAACGAUCGAGACCCGCACCCUUAGUUGCAACCCUUGCGGAUUCCGCAUGGGGCACACUACGGGGACUGCCGCCGAUAAGGCGGAGGAAGGAGCGGGCCACGGCAGGUCAGUAUGCCCCGAAUCCUCCGGGCCACACGCGAGCUGCAAUGGCAGGGACAAUGGGUUCCAACCUUGAAAGGGGGAGGUAAUCCUUAAACCCUGCCUCAGUUGGGAUCGAGGGUUGCAACCCGCCCUCGUGAACAUGGAAUGCCUAGUAAUC